rnacentral:ncRNA from 1 species
UAAAUUCCAAUAAAAGAUUUUAAAAAAUUAAAAAAAACAGAAAUAUUUUUAUGAAUCCUGGAGCACACAGAGUAAAGAUAGCUUUCAUCCAUUUAUGGUUUUAACAUCCAUAAAAUUUGGGAUGAAGUUACAAAUUGUUCGUUAUAAUCAUCUUGGAAUCAGCCAACGUUGUUUCUGACACAAAAUGCUGUUUAAUAUUGUUCUUUUUAGCUGGAUAUCUUUUAGCUAAAGAACCCCCACCACAUUUGAAGAAAACAAUGCUUAUUUUUUAUUCAUAGACUCACGAUGUUAAAUGCCGCCGGAAGUAAAAAAUUGUAGGAGAAAUAGUUUUUAUAUUUUAUUUGGUUAGAGCAGGGAUCCCCAAACGUUUUUACUCAGGGGGCCAGUUCGCUAUCCCACAGAACGUUGGAGGGCUGGACUAUAAAAAAAAAACUAUGAACUAAUAUAUCAAGCAACUAGCCCUGAAAAUGGAUGGCGCUGUAGCGUCGUGCCUAUACUCUGCCGUCAAUGACAAAGAUGAUUAAUAAGCUGUGUGUUAAUUAAUGUUGUAGUCUUGACUGCAGUAUUGUUAAUUACAAAGUUUAUUACUAUAUCAUCAUUAUGUCGUGAUGAGUAAGAGGGCCGCGGCGAUGAGCGCAGAAGGGUCUGGGCGAGAGCCCGCCUGGAGCCGUCGCUGGUGCAGAUCUUGGUGGUAGUAGCAAAUACUCCAGCGAGGCCCUGGAGGACUGAUGUGGAGAAGGGUUUCUUGUGAACAGCUGUUGCACAAGAGUCAGUCGAUCCUAAGCCCUAGGAGAAAUCCGAAGCGAUAUGCGCCCGUUAAAUAAUUUUUUUUUAUUAAAUGUUUGGCGCUAUCUGGGCGAAAGGGAAUCCGGUUCCUAUUCCGGAACCCGGCAGCGGAACCGUUCCAAAUCGGGCUCUCAUUUGAGAACUCGUCGGGGUAACCCGACAAGACCCGGAGACGCCGUAGGGAAAUUCGGAGAGAGUUGUCUCUUCUCUAUAAGCGUUCGAGUUCCCUGGAAACCUCUAGCAGGGAGAUAGGGUUUGGAACGCGAAGAGCACCGCAGUUACGGCGGUGUCCGGAUCUUCCCUACGGACCUUGAAAAUCCGGGAGAGAGCCACGAGGAACCCCGCGCCGGCUCGUACCCAUAUCCGCAGCAGGUCUCCAAGGUCAAUAGCCUCUAGUCGAUAGAAUAAUGUAGGUAAGGGAAGUCG